UACGUAGGGUGCAAGCGUUAAUCGGAAUUACUGGGCGUAAAGCGUGCGCAGGCGGUGAUGUAAGACAGGUGUGAAAUCCCCGGGCUUAACCUGGGAACUGCAUUUGUGACUGCAUCGCUGGAGUGCGGCAGAGGGGGGGAUGGAAUUCCGCGUGUAGCAGUGAAAUGCGUAGAUAUGCGGAGGAACACCGAUGGCGAAGGCAAUCCCCUGGGCCUGCACUGACGCUCAUGCACGAAAGCGUGGGGAGCAAACAGG
rnacentral:rRNA from 1 species